rnacentral:rRNA from 1 species
CAAUCACUUGUCUCUUAAAUGGAGACCUGUAUGAAUGGCCCGACGAGGGCUUGACUGUCUCCUCUUUCCAGUCAAUGAAAUUGAUCUCCCCGUGCAGAAGCGGGGAUACUAACAUAAGACGAGAAGACCCUAUGAAGCUUUAGAUACCAGGGCAGAUUAUGUUUUUUCCUCCUUACAAAGAACCAAACUUAAUAACCCCUGCCCAAAUGUCUUUGGUUGGGGCGACCGCGGGGAAGUAAAUAACCCCCAUGUGGUAGGGAGGACUAACUCCUACAACCAAGAGCUACAGCUCUAAGCAACAAAAAUUUUGACCAAUAAGAUCCGGCAACGCCGAUCAACGAACCGAGUUACUCUAGGGAUAACAGCGCAAUCCCCUUAUAGAGCCCC